GUGCUCACUUUGGCAGCAUACAUACUAAAAUUGCAAAGAUACAGAAAAUAUUAGCAUAGAGAGGCAAGGAUGAUACACAAAUUCAUGAAGUGUUCCCUAGUUUU